CGCUGCAGCGACAGCAGUUCCCACGGGAGGAGUCGCACCGGGAAUGGGCCGCGGGGGAGGGAGAGAGUGGGAGGGAGUGAGGCCCCGGGAAUUGUCCUCUGAAGGGGCGGCGCAUGGGCGUCCCCCGCCCUGCUAGCCCCAUCUCCUUCCCUGUCCCUGCUUGGGCAGGAGGCCCAAGCCCUGACAACAGAGGUGAGAGAGGCUGUGCCAGCCCUUCUCUGGGCAUGUCUGGGCUCAAGGGCCAGGCUCUGUCUCCAGUCUAGGGCCAAGCUGGGGCCUGUGGCAGGAUCAGAUAGAGGUGAUUCUGACUCUCCUGGAACCUGAGAACCACCAGUCUACGGGAACAGAGCCCUGCUUUGGGUCAGACGGGGUUUCGCCGGGCUGGUCUCCGCUCCUGACCGCGAGUGAUCCGCCGGCCUCGGCCUCCCGAGGUGCCGGGAUUGCAGAUGGAGUCUCGUUCACUCGGUGCUCAAUGGUGCCCAGGCUGGAGUGCAGUGGCGUGAUCUCGGCUCGCUACAACCACCUCCCAGCCGCCUGCCUUGGCCUCCCGAAGAGCCGAGAUUGCAGCCUCUGCCCGGCCGCCACCCCGUCUGGGAAGUGAGGAGCGUCUCUGCUUGGCCGCCCAUCGUCUGGGAUAUGAGGAGCCCCUCUGCCUGGCUGCCCAGUCUGGAGGGUGAGGAGUGUCUCUGCCCGGCCGCCAUCCCAUCUAGGAAGCGAGGAGCGCCUCUUCCCCGCCG
rnacentral:lncRNA from 10 species